rnacentral:rRNA from 1 species
GACGAACGCUGGCGGCGUGCUUAACACAUGCAAGUCGAACGGUAAGGCUCCAGCUUGCUGGGGUACACGAGUGGCGAACGGGUGAGUAACACGUGGGUGACCUGCCCUGCACUUCGGGAUAAGCCUGGGAAACUGGGUCUAAUACCGGAUAGGACCAUGGUGUGGAUACUGUGGUGGAAAGUUUUUUCGGUGUGGGUUGGGCACGCGGCCUAUCAGCUUGUUGGUGGGGUAAUGGCCUACCAAGGCGGCGACGGGUAGCCGGCCUGAGAGGGUGGACGGCCACAUUGGGACUGAGACACGGCCCAGACUCCUACGGGAGGCAGCAGUGGGGAAUAUUGCACAAUGGGCGGAAGCCUGAUGCAGCGACGCCGCGUGGGGGAUGACGGCCUUCGGGUUGUAAACUCCUUUCACCAUCGACGAAGGGUUUCUGACGGUAGAUGGAGAAGAAGCACCGGCUAACUACGUG